UUGCACGCUGACGGCAGGCCUAACACAUGCAAGUCGAGCGGAUGAAGGGAGCUUGCUCCUGGAUUCAGCGGCGGACGGGUGAGUAAUGCCUAGGAAUCUGCCUGGUAGUGGGGGAUAACGUCCGGAAACGGGCGCUAAUACCGCAUACGUCCUGAGGGAGAAAGUGGGGGAUCUUCGGACCUCACGCUAUCAGAUGAGCCUAGGUCGGAUUGGCUAGUUGGUGGGGUAAAGGCCUACCAAGGCGACGAUCCGUAACUGGUCUGAGAGGAUGAUCAGUCACACUGGAACUGAGACACGGUCCAGACUCCUACGGGAGGCAGCAGUGGGGAAUAUUGGACAAUGGGCGAAAGCCUGAUCCAGCCAUGCCGCGUGUGUGAAGAAGGUCUUCGGAUUGUAAAGCACUUUAAGUUGGGAGGAAGGGCAGUAAGUUAAUACCUUGCUGUUUUGACGUUACCAACAGAAUAAGCACCGGCUAACUUCGUG
rnacentral:rRNA from 1 species